UACUUCAGUAACACGUCCCACGAUGAUAUCUCCAACCUCUGGUUUGUACCUGGCCCUCAAGGCACGGACAUAGACCAGCUUGUUAACUCGUUCCACUAUCCCGCAUAGAGUUGCAACCACUUCGCCGUCAAGCUCAGAAGUUCCAUGCCCCCUUAAUCCAACGCCAUGGAAAUUUUGAUGAACAUGAAUGGAUUCAAAAGAAGAGAAAAGAAAUUGAAAGGGCAAAG